rnacentral:rRNA from 1 species
CCUACGGGCGGCACCAGUGGGGAAUAUUGCACAAUGGCGCAAGCCUGAUGCAGCCAUGCCGCGUGUAUGAAGAAGGCCUUCGGGUUGUAAAGUACUUUCAGCGGGGAGGGAGGUGUUGUGGCUAAUAACCGCAGCAAUUGACGUUACCCGCAGAAGAAGCACCGGCUAACUCCGUGCCAGCAGCCGCGGUAAUACGGAGGGUGCAAGCGUUAAUCGGAAUUACUGGGCGUAAAGCGCACGCAGGCGGUCUGUCAAGUCGGAUGUGAGAUCCCCGGGCUCAACCUGGGAACUGCAUUCGAAACUGGCAGGCUAGAGUCUUGUAGAGGGGGGUAGAAUUCCAGGUGUAGCGGUGAAAUGCGUAGAGAUCUGGAGGGAUACCGGUGGCGAAGGCGGCCCCCUGGACAAAGACUGACGCUCAGGUGCGAAAGCGUGGGGAGCAAACAGGAUUAGAUACCCUAGUAGUC